UGUCCAGCGAGAGUUCUGAUUGGGCGGC
rnacentral:piRNA from 1 species